rnacentral:rRNA from 1 species
ACUCCUACGGGAGGCAGCAGUGGGGAAUAUUGCACAAUGGGCGAAAGCCUGAUGCAGCAACGCCGCGUGAGUGAUGAAGGCCUUCGGGUCGGAAAACUCUGUCCUCAAGGAAGAUAAUGACGGUACUGGAGGAGGAAGCCCCGGCUAACUACGUGCCAGCAGCCGCGGUAAUACGGAGGGGGCUAGCGUUAUCCGGAUUUACUGGGCGUAAAGGGUGCGUAGGCGGUCGUUCAAGUCAGGAGUGAAAGGCUACGGCUCAACCGUAGUAAGCUCUUGAAACUGGGAGACUUGAGUGCAGG